rnacentral:rRNA from 1 species
GACGUAGGGCGCGAGCGUUGUCCGGAUUUAUUGGGCGUAAAGAGCUCGUAGGCGGCUUGUCGCGUCGACUGUGAAAACCCGCAGCUCAACUGUGGGCUUGCAGCCGAUACGGGCAGGCUAGAGUUCGGUAGGGGAGACUGGAAUCCCUGGUGUAGCGGUGAAAUGCGCAGAUAUCAGGAAGAACACCGGUGGCGAAGGCGGGUCUCUGGGCCGAUACUGACGCUGAGGAGCGAAAGCGUGGGGAGCAAACAGG